rnacentral:rRNA from 1 species
UACGGAGGAUGCAAGUGUUAUUCGGAAUCACUGGGCGUAAAGCGUCUGUAGGCGGUUUAAUAAGUCAACUGUUAAAUCUUGAGGCUCAACCUCAAAAUCGCAGUCGAAACUAUUAGGCUAGAGUAUAGUAGGGGUAAAGGGAAUUUCCAGUGGAGCGGUGAAAUGCGUAGAGAUUGGAAAGAACACCAAUGGCGAAGGCACUUUACUGGGCUAUUACUGACACUCAGAGACGAAAGCUAGGGUAGCAAAUGGG